CGGAACUACUCAGUGGUGAAGGCUGUGCGGACACUGGGGGCCCGCCAGGGGUUUGGCCCCUUACUCAACCCAACCACGGUCCUCUCCGGCGCAGGCCGAUUUGAGGACCUAGACUCCUUGAUGCUGACGGCCUGAGGGGGCUCCCGGGUGCCGGAUAUCUGACACAGGCCAGGGAGGCUCCCCUGGGAGACCUGGCAGGCCUGGAGGUGUGAGUCGGCUCUGAGCAGCUGCUCUGGGAGAGCCAGUCCACGGAGCCAAAGCUGGAGGGCAGCUGCCGGCCACAAGUUGGGGAGGAGGAGAGACGCAAGGCCGUCAGAUGCUUGUCCUGGAAACCAACCAUGAGCUGUGAUGAAAUCCAGGCAACUGAGUUGUGUUUCAGCCCAAAGCAGCAAAUGGAAUCCAGCUUCAGGACCAUCAUCUGACAUAGGGGAAGAAGACUUACAUAGAAGGCCUAACCAGCACCCAAGAUCAUUAAUGAUUAAAGGGUAAAUUAACCAGGAAGACAUAGCAACUGUAAAUGUUUGUGUAGACACAUUUACAUGAACCAAAAUUUGACAGAAUUAAGGCUCAUAGGUGGAGGAGACUUGCUUUGUCUCAGAUGAGACUUUGGACUGUGGACUUUUGAGUUAAUGCUGAAAUGAGUUGAGACUUUGGGGAACUGUUGGGAAGGCAUGAUUGGUUUUAAAUAUGAAUAUAUGAGAUUUGGGAGGGGGUCAGGGGUGGAAUGAUAUGGUUUGGCUCUGUGUCCCCACCCAAAUCUCAUCUUGUAGCUCCCAUAAUCCUCCCAUGUUGUGGGAGGGACCCAGUGGGAGAUGAUUGAAUCAUGAGGGCGGGUCUUUCUCAUGCUGUUCAUGAUCCCAUUCAUGUGAGAAAGACCCAUGUGAUCAUGAAUGGGUCUCACAAGAUCUGAUGGUGUUAAAAAUGGGAGUUUCUCUGCACAAGCUCUCUGCCUGCUGCCAUUCACAAAGGAUGUGACUUGCUUCUCCUUGCCUUCUGCUAUGAUUGUGAGGCCUCCCUAGCCAUGUGGAACUGUGAGUCCAAUUAAACCUCUUUCUUUUGUAAAUUGACUAGUCUCGGGUGUGUCUUUAUCAGCAAUGUGAAAAAGGUCUAAUACACCUCCAAAUUGAUCUACAAAUUAAAUGUCAUUUCUAUAAAAACCUUAAAUGAAUAUUUAGGAAAACUGAUGAAUUCUCUCUAAAAUUCAUAUGGAAAUGCAAAGAAUCCAAAGUAGCUAAAACAGCAUUCAAAAUAAAAAUAAAGUUGAAGGGAUAAAAUCACCUGUUUUUAAGACUUAUUGUGAAGCUAAAGAAAUCAAGAUGGUACAGUAUUGGCAUCAAGAUAAACAAAUAAGUCUAUAAAACAGAAUAGAGAGUGCUGGAGUAGAAGGAAGGAAUCGAUGAUAAAAGCAGAAUGGUUGAAAACAAAUUUUAACAAUCAAAAACACAAACAAUAAGCAAAAUUAAUAAAGGCAAAAGAUGAUUCUCCAGAAAUAAAGGUAACACAUAAUCUCCUAGCUAGACUGAUAAAUAAUAAGUAAAACAUAAUGAAACAAAUAGAAACAGAAAAUACUGAAAUCACCAAUAUCUGGGACAAAGGAGGAAAUUUUACUACCUAUUCUACCUACAUUACAAAGAUUACAAGAAAAAUUUUAAA
rnacentral:lncRNA from 1 species